rnacentral:tRNA from 3 species
CAAUUAGCUCAGUUGGUAGAGCACUCGGCUGUUAACCGAUAGGUCGUAGGUUCGAGCCCUACAUUGGC